GGGAUCUUUUAAGAUUAUUUGCCCCACCUGCCCAAAGUCUGCCCGAGACUGAGGUGAGUGAAACACUUUAGCACACUUUAGCAGGUUUAGCACACCUGCUCACAUACUCAUUUCCGCACUGUCUUUAGAAUCCAGAGAUUUUAGGCUUGUGCAGCAGAAAGUGAAAGUGAUUCACCUCUAUGAAGAAAAUGGAAAGUAUUGCAAAAAUAUACAUCAACUGAAGCUGCAACUAUCUAUCCUCAUACUCUGAAGGUUUCCUUAAGAAAAUGAGCAUGGAUCCACACUUUGCCUCUUCAUCAUGGAAUCUUUGAAAUAAGGCUGCCUUCACUCUGCUCAAAGUAAUAACUUUUUAGAGCAUUGCAAAUUUAAAGUGAGUGAUCUUGCAUAACAAAAAGUGAUGUAAAUUCUUGAUACCGUCAUCUUAUAAUUGAUUGCACUUUUACAUAAAUGUGAUUUAAUACUAUUUAAAUUG